AGAAUCAACGCUGGCGGCGUGCCUAACACAUGCAAGUCGAACGAGAAAGUGGAGCAAUCCAUGAGUAAAGUGGCGACCGGGUGAGUAACACGUGACUAACCUACCUUCGAGUGGGGGAUAACCUCGGGAAACCGGGGCUAAUACCGCAUAAAAUCUUUGGAUCGGAAGAACUGGAGAUCAAUGGAGCAAUUCGCUUGAAGAGGGGGUCGCGGCUGAUUACGCUAGUUGGCGGGGUAAUGGCCCACCAAGGCUUUGAUCGGUAGCCGGCCUGAGAGGGCGCGACGGACCGACGACCUGGAACGUGAAACACGGUCCAGACUCCUACGGGAGGCAGCAGUGGGGAAUUUUGCGCAAUGGGGGAAACCCUGACGCAGCAACGCCGCGUGGAGGAUGAAGUCCCUUGGGACGUAAACUCCUUUCGACCGGGACGAUUAUGACGGUACCGGUGGAAGAAGCCCGGCUAACUUCGUGCCAGCAGCCGC
rnacentral:rRNA from 1 species